rnacentral:rRNA from 1 species
AACGAACGCUGGCGGCAGGCUUAACACAUGCAAGUCGAACGGAGAUUUUAGCAAUAAAAUCUUAGUGGCGAACGGGUGAGUAACGCGUAGACAACCUGCCUUCUAGAUGGGGACAACACUGCGAAAGUGGUGCUAAUACCGAAUGUUGUAAUUGGAAUGCAUGUUCUGAUUACUAAAGGUGGCCUCUAUUUAUAAGCUAUCGCUAGAAGAUGGGUCUGCGUCUGAUUAGCUAGUUGGUGAGGUAAUGGCUCACCAAGGGGACGAUCAGUAGCCGGUCGGAGAGGAUGAACGGCCAACCUGGGACUGAGACACGGCCCAGACUCCUACGGGAGGCAGCAGUGGGGAAUCUUCCGCAAUGGACAAAAGUCUGACGGAGCAACGCCGCGUGAGUGAAGAAGGUUUUCGGAUCGUAAAACUCUGUUUUCAGGGACGAAUGUGCUGAUUGUAAAUAAUGGUUGGUAAUGACGGUACCUGACAAGAAAGCCACGGCUAACUACGUGCCAGCCGCCGCCGUAACAC